GACGUAGGAUGCGAGCGUUGUCCGGAUUUAUUGGGCGUAAAGAGUUCGUAGGUGGUUCAUUAAGUCUGGUGUUAAAGACCGGGGCUCAACCUCGGGAUCGCACUGGAUACUGGUGGACUGGAGUGCAGUAGAGGCAAGCGGAAUUCCAGGUGUAGCGGUGAAAUGCGUAGAUAUCUGGAAGAACACCGGUGGCGCAAGCGGCUUGCUGGGCUGUAACUGACACUGAGGAACGAAAGCUAGGGGAGCAAAUGGG
rnacentral:rRNA from 1 species